UGGGGAAUAUUGGACAAUGGGCGAAAGCCUGAUCCAGCCAUGCCGCGUGUGUGAAGAAGGUCUUCGGAUUGUAAAGCACUUUAAGUUGGGAGGAAGGGCAGUAAGCGAAUACCUUGCUGUUUUGACGUUACCGACAGAAUAAGCACCGGCUAACUCUGUGCCAGCAGCCGCGGUAAUACAGAGGGUGCAAGCGUUAAUCGGAAUUACUGGGCGUAAAGCGCGCGUAGGUGGUUCGUUAAGUUGAAUGUGAAAGCCCCGGGCUCAACCUGGGAACUGCAUCCAAAACUGGCGAGCUGGAGUAGGGCAGAGGGUGGUGGAAUUUCCUGUGUAGCGGUGAAAUGCGUAGAUAUAGGGAGGAACACCAGUGGCGAAGGCGACCACCUGGGCUCAUACUGACACUGAGGUGCGAAAGCGUGGGGAGCAAACAGG
rnacentral:rRNA from 1 species